rnacentral:rRNA from 1 species
AAGGGCACCACAAGAACGCGUGGAGCAUGUGGCUUAAUUUGANNCAACGCGGNAAAUCUUNCCGGGUCCGGACACACUGAGGAUUGACAGGCGUCUGUGGUUCAAGUUUCUAACUUGUUCCACUAUAAAUAUGCUAGUCCUUUCAUGAUUGUGUGAUAGGUGGUGCAUGGCCGUUCUUAGUUCGUGGAGUGAUCUGUCUGCUUAAUUGCGUUUCACAAAGGGCUUUCAAUCUCUCGCCUACUGCGCGGCACUCGUGCUCUCUGAGCCUUGUGUCUGUGCACGGUGGGAUAAAAGUCCUGAAGGCAACGAACGUGACCG